CAAGUCGAACGAGAACCACCGGGCAACUGGUGGGGAAAGUGGCGAAAGGGGCAGUAAUGUAUGGGUAACCUACCCCGGGGACCGGCAUAGCCAUUCUAACGAGUGGGUAAUACCGGGCGAUGUAACGAGGGGGCAUCUUCUUGUUACCAGAUGAAUUUCGCCCUGGGAGGGGCUCAUAUCGUAUUAGCUUGUUGGCGAGGUAACGGCUCACCAAGGCUAAGAUGCGUAGCGGGUGUGAGAGCACGACCCGCGCCACUGGCACUGAGACACUGGCCAGACUCCUACGGGAGGCUGCAGUCGAGGAUCUUCGGCAAUGGGCGCAAGCCUGACCGAGCGACGCCGCGUGUGCGAUGAAGGCCUUCGGGUUGUAAAGCACUGUCGAGGGGGAGGAAGCCGCAAGGUUGACCUAUCCCUGGAGGGAGCACGGGCUAAGUUCGUGCCAGCAGCCGCGGUAAGACGAACCGUGCGAACGUUGUUCGGAAUCACUGGGCUUAAAGGGCGCGUAGGCGGUUCAUCAAGUCUGGGGUGAAAUCUUUCGGCUUAACCGGAAAAGUGCCUGGGAUACUGAUGAACUGGAGGGAGAUAGGGGCAGCUGGAACUUCCGGUGGAGCGGUGAAAUGCGUUGAUAUCGGAAGGAACUCCGGUGGCGAAAGCGAGCUGCUGGAUCUCUUCUGACGCUGAGGCGCGAAAGCUAGGGGAGCAAACGGGAUUAGAUACCCCGGUAGUCCUGGCCCUAAACGAUGGGUACUAGGUUGUGGACUUAACAUGGGUUCACAGCCGAAGCAAAAGUGUUUAGUACCCCGCCUGGGGAGUAUGGUCGCAAGGCUGAAACUCAAAGGAAUUGACGGGGGCUC
rnacentral:rRNA from 1 species